CCAGAUAAAGACUGAGCACGUCUAAGGGAACUGCCUGGGGUUAACCAGGAGGAAGGUGGGGAUGACGUCAAGUCAUCAUGGCCUUUAUGUCCAGGGCUACACACGUGCUGCAAUGGUCGGUACAAAGGGCAGCGAGCUCGCGAGUGCAAGCUAAUCCCAUAAAGCCGGCCUCAGUUCGGAUUGGAGUCUGCAACUCGACUCCAUGAAGUCGGAAUCGCUAGUAAUCGUGGAUCAGAAUGUCACGGUGAAUACGUUCCCGGGUCUU
rnacentral:rRNA from 1 species